CUAAUUCCGUGCCAGCAGCCGCGGUAAUACGGAAGGUCCGGGCGUUAUCCGGAUUUAUUGGGUUUAAAGGGAGUGUAGGCGGUCUGUUAAGCGUGUUGUGAAAUUUAGGUGCUCAACAUUUAACUUGCAGCGCGAACUGUCAGACUUGAGUACACGCAGCGCAGGCGGAAUUCAUGGUGUAGCGGUGAAAUGCUUAGAUAUCAUGAGGAACUCCGAUCGCGAAGGCAGCCUGCGGGAGUGUUACUGACGCUUAAGCUCGAAGGUGCGGGUAUCGAACAGGAUUAGAUACCCUGGUAGUCCGCACAGUAAACGAUGGAUGCCCGCCGUUGGCGCCCUGCGCCUGCGGCCAAGCGAAAGCAUUAAGCAUCCCACCUGGGGAGUACGCCGGCAACGGUGAAACUCAAAGGAAUUGACGGGGGCCCGCACAAGCGGAGGAACAUGUGGUUUAAUUCGAUGAUACGCGAGGAACCUUACCCGGGCUUGAAUUGCAGUCGCUGCCCACAGAGACGUGGGCUUCCCUUCGGGGCGUCUGUGAAGGUGCUGCAUGGUUGUCGUCAGCUCGUGCCGUGAGGUGUCGGCUUAAGUGCCAUAACGAGCGCAACCCCCUUUCCCAGUUGCCAUCGGGUGAUGCCGGGCACUCUGGGGACACUGCCACCGCAAGGUGCGAGGAAGGUGGGGAUGACGUCAAAUCAGCACGGCCCUUACGUCCGGGGCUACACACGUGUUACAAUGGCCGGUACAGAGGGACGGUGUAAUGCAAGUUGCAUCCAAUCUUGAAAUCCGGUCCCAGUUCGGACUGGGGUCUGCAACCCGACCCCACGAAGCUGGAUUCGCUAGUAAUCGCGCAUCAGCCAUGGCGCGGUGAAUACGUUCCCGGGCCUUGUACACACCGCCCGUCAAGCCAUGAAAGCCGGGGGUGCCUGAAGUUCGUGACCGCGAGGAGCGACCUAGGGCAAGACCGGUG
rnacentral:rRNA from 1 species